UCGGGUGUGGUGUACCGAACACCGCGCGCCUUCUUUAGAUGAUGGGAGAAGGUGAGUGGGCGCAGACCGGGGUUCGACUCCCCGCGCCCGAA